AGAAAUCAAGACUCCAGAGACAUGGUGGGACAAAUGGAAACAAAACUUCACGUUAUUUGAAAUGUCCCAGUCUACCAGGGCUGGUCUUUCUAACACUUCAGAGAUCUCUGUACUCCCCUGUGGCUCUGUAUGACUCUUCUUCACAUCCCUUUAGCUUGUGCAAUGAGCAAGCUUUAAAACGGCAUUUCCAGCUGAGAUCCUGAGAUGAUUUUUAAAGCUGCUGGGAUGUGGCCGGCUGUUUGUGCUUCAGAACUGCCAAAGCAUGUGUAUGAGUUAUUUCUAAGGGACAGAAUAGGAAUGGAGAAUUAAGUGUGCACAUUCUUCAAAACAAUGGAAAAGUCCACACACAGACAACAAGGAAUGAGUAUGUGAGUGUGCUUAUACAUGUAUGUGUAUAUGUGGAUGGGUGUGGGUAUGUGUACGUUUCUGUGUCUGCACGUGCAUGUACAUACAUGGUGUUCAUGUAUAAGUGUAAAUGUGUAUGUGCAUGUUUGCAUCCACACAUGAGAUCCAGUGUUCCUGUUUAUAUCCUAGGGAAAUUCUGGAGCAGAGCGCUGGGGGAAAUUAGAAGUCUUUGCAGUGGAAGGCCUGGCUCCUGGAUGAGUGCACUGAGGAUCCAACAAGAGAUUGAUUCCUGGCCGGAGAGGCAAGAUGGUGGAGGAGUAGGGCCCUCAUCUCACCCUGCCCCACCAACUUCCCUGGAUAACUUUCAAACCAUCCUAAACACCUACAAAUCCGACCUGAGAUUUAAAAGAGAGAAUGGCCGGAAUGCUACAGAGAGAAGGGUUUUCGUUUCUGACAGGUAGGAAGGCAAGGAAAAAAGAAAAAAAGAAUAAAGUAAGGGAGGGGCCCCGAGAGGAGACA
rnacentral:lncRNA from 1 species